UACAGAGGGUGCAAGCGUUGUUCGGAAUUAUUGGGCGUAAAGCGCGUGUAGGCGGCUUUGCAAGUCGGGUGUGAAAGCCCUCAGCUCAACUGAGGAAGUGCGCCCGAAACUGCAGAGCUUGAGUACCGGAGAGGGUGGCGGAAUUCCCCAAGUAGAGGUGAAAUUCGUAGAUAUGGGGAGGAACACCGGUGGCGAAGGCGGCCACCUGGACGGAUACGUGACGCUGAGACGCGAAAGCGUGGGUAGCAAACAGG
rnacentral:rRNA from 1 species